GACGAACGCUGGCGGCGUGCUUAACACAUGCAAGUCGAACGGAAAGGCCCCAGCUUGCUGGAGUACUCGAGUGGCGAACGGGUGAGUAACACGUGGGUAAUCUGCCCUGCACUCUGGGAUAAGCCUGGGAAACUGGGUCUAAUACUGGAUAUGACCUUUCUCCUUAUGGGGUUUGGUGGAAAGUUUUUCGGUGUAGGAUGAGCCCGCGGCCUAUCAGCUUGUUGGUGGGGUGAUGGCCUACCAAGGCGACGACGGGUAGCCGGCCUGAGAGGGUGAUCGGCCACAUUGGGACUGAGAUACGGCCCAGACUCCUACGGGAGGCAGCAGUGGGGAAUAUUGCACAAUGGGCGGAAGCCUGAUGCAGCGACGCCGCGUGAGGGAUGACGGCCCUCGGGUUGUAAACCUCUUUCAGCAGGGACGAAGCGUAAGUGACGGUACCUGCAGAAGAAGCACCGGCUAACUAUGUG
rnacentral:rRNA from 1 species